GGCGCACUAGCUCAACUGGCAGAGCAACUGACUCUUAAUCAGUAGGUUCAGGGUUCGACCCCCUGGUGCGUCA
rfam:Anaerolinea thermophila MPI_scaffold_1060, whole genome shotgun sequence.